rnacentral:rRNA from 1 species
UGGGGAAUUUUGGACAAUGGGGGAAACCCUGAUCCAGCCAUCCCGCGUGUGCGAUGAAGGCCUUCGGGUUGUAAAGCACUUUUGGCAGGAAAGAAACGUCGCGGGUUAAUACCCCGCGAAACUGACGGUACCUGCAGAAUAAGCACCGGCUAACUACGUGCCAGCAGCCGCGGUAAUACGUAGGGUGCAAGCGUUAAUCGGAAUUACUGGGCGUAAAGCGUGCGCAGGCGGUUCGGAAAGAAAGAUGUGAAAUCCCAGAGCUUAACUUUGGAACUGCAUUUUUAACUACCGGGCUAGAGUGUGUCAGAGGGAGGUGGAAUUCCGCGUGUAGCAGUGAAAUGCGUAGAUAUGCGGAGGAACACCGAUGGCGAAGGCAGCCUCCUGGGAUAACACUGACGCUCAUGCACGAAAGCGUGGGGAGCAAACAGGAUUAGAUACCCUGGUAGUCCACGCCCUAAACGAUGUCAACUAGCUGUUGGGGGCCUUCGGGCCUUGGUAGCGCAGCUAACGCGUGAAGUUGACCGCCUGGGGAGUACGGUCGCAAGGUUAAAACUUAAAGGAAUUGACGGGGUCAUAGCUGUUU